UGACUCCAUUCCGAACUCAGAAGUGAAACGAAAUAGCGCCGAUGGUAGUGUGGGGUUUCCCCAUGUGAGAGUAGGACAUCGCCAGGC
rnacentral:rRNA from 3 species